rnacentral:lncRNA from 1 species
AUAUCUCCAGAUGGAGCAUAUUCAGCCGGAUCGGUAAUAACAUAUUAUUUUAUUUUAUUUUAUUCUAUUUUAUUUUCUUUUCACAUAUUCUAACAAAUUCAAUUUUUCCAUUUAUUCAGUACAAUUUUAUCAAAAUGAUUCGGGAUAGAUGUGCUCCUACAAAUGUGUUUCCAAAUCCGUUGCAGUCAUUGAAUGACGUCUAUCACAACUGCAAUGAGAUGAUGGAAGCAUUUGCUCAACUAAUUCCAACCGCCUUCUCCUCAACUACUUCUGAAGCUCCUCCUCCACAACACUUCCAAAUGCCUUUUGCACCUGAAUAUCAACAAUAUGAGAGUCAAACUCAGACGGAUACUUUUCCGCAGGCAUACACUCAGACUCUUGCUCCUCAACAACAACAACAACAUCCGUUUGGGUUUGAACCUUACGGAGC